CCUCCAGAGGCAGCUGUCAACAUCUGGGCUGGCAAAUGAGGCCAGCCUAGAGAGUGUGGGAUCUUGGCCCCCAGUGACUCAGCUCUCUCAGGA
ensembl:misc_RNA predicted gene, 27369